rnacentral:rRNA from 1 species
AUUGAACGCUGGCGGCAGGCUUAACACAUGCAAGUCGAGCGGGGGAAGGUAGCUUGCUACUGGACCUAGCGGCGGACGGGUGAGUAAUGCUUAGGAAUCUGCCUAUUAGUGGGGGACAACAUCUCGAAAGGGAUGCUAAUACCGCAUACGUCCUACGGGAGGAAGCAGGGGAUCUUCGGACCUUGCGCUAAUAGAUGAGCCUAAGUCGGAUUAGCUAGUUGGUGGGGUAAAGGCCUACCAAGGCGACGAUCUGUAGCGGGUCUGAGAGGAUGAUCCGCCACACUGGGACUGAGACACGGCCCAGACUCCUACGGGAGGCAGCAGUGGGGAAUAUUGGACAAUGGGGGGAACCCUGAUCCAGCCAUGCCGCGUGUGUGAAGAAGGCCUUAUGGUUGUAAAGCACUUUAAGCGAGGAGGAGGCUACUUUAGUUAAUACCUAGAGAUAGUGGACGUUACUCGCAGAAUAAGCACCGGCUAACUCUGUGCCAGCCGCCGCAGUAACAC